AAUAUCAACAAUGGGUUUCAGUGCUGUAUUGUUGAGUUUUGUAUGAACUAAUCUAGCUUCACUUAAAAAAAAAAAAAAACUACAGCUUUGGACAAAAGUCUAUAGCCAGUGCAUUCGUAACUCCCCAUGCACAAGAGCUGACUGUGGCUCUGGGAAGACAUUUUACUCAUUUGGUUUCUUCUUUCUUAUAGUCUUCUUGUCCUGCUCUCAGGUGUUUACCACCUAUUAGAAUUUCACCUGUAUGGGUACUGUGUUUGAGAAUGUCCCAGGACUUGUCAGCUGGUAUAGGCCUCAUAAAAGACAGCUCUGUUCAGGGUUUGAAAGGGACUGCAGUUAAAAGCUAGGGCUAGGAUUUGGAGGAUGUGUAGGCAAACGGAAGGAGAGCCGGGGGAAGAAAAACCGAAAUGGAUUCAUUCUCUGUCCUGGAUGGAGGAGGAGAAGAGAAGAGAAGAGAAGGGGAUGUGAAAGCUUCCUUCAACUGCCUGUCCGGUGAAAAGUGAUCAAACCCCCGGGGCUGAAGAGAACUCAAGAGUCCACGCGGACUUUCGCUUUAUCCUGCCAAUCAAACUGCUUACUAGACAACACCCUGAUCUGGCAUGGACAUCCAAGAGGAAGAGGAAAACUCUAAUCCUGAGCCAAGUGUGUGUUUUUGGGGAGUCCCCCUCCCCCCUUCCACACCCCUCCCUAGGAAGAAACAACAACAACAAAAAGUCCAGCUUGGGACUUUGUGAGGCUGCGGUUGCUUCUCGCUUCUCUGCCGAAGACUUGU
rnacentral:lncRNA from 1 species